CUAUAGGCGGCCAAAACCGGAUGAAGAGCCGUUCUAGGCAGACGCUGCUUCCGUACCCAGUAGGCCUUGCGCCAUUCUUACUCUACAAUCAUCCGUUUGUGACCUUUUAUUCUUAGGGUUUCUCUGACUUUGAAGAUGCUGGCUAAUAUUUCAAAGUUGUGGGCUAUGUAUAAACCUUCAAAAGAAAUUCAGCCUAUUGUGUUUUCUGCAAUCUUGACAGGAUACCUUUAUUACAAAAUUGAAUUUGGAGGUGAACAUUCAGCUGAAAGAAGAGCAGCGGAAAACAAAAGGAGGAGAGCCAGGCCUGUGCAUCAUUAAAACUUGCACUCUUCAGAAUGAAUUUUUGAACUGUCAUCUUAGCUGUAAACAAGUUGAGCUACAUCAUGGGAAACUACUUAUUCUGUAAGCAGUGUGCAUCAUUAGCACAAUGGUAAUCUGGCAUCUGUCAUGGAGUGAAUAAAUGUGAUGUUCAAGAA